AAAGCAUGCCUCUACAUCUAUCCUCUGAAUAAGGCUGGUUUUUCGUUUUAUAGGCCACUUUUUUUAAACCUAAAUCAGUAUAUAUAUAUAUUUAUUUAUAUAUUUGUAAUUUUUUAAAAUGUAUUUUAGUAUGUAAUCUCUACAUUUUGAGUUAAAGCGACUCAUAAACAGAGCUGAUGGUUUAUUGAAUUUGUAUUAUGGCCUUUGACUAGAACACAAUGAACGACAGAAGGAUCGAGGGAUCAAAUUAGUGCAGGAGUUUAUUUUUAUUUUUUAUAAGCUGAUACAAGUAUAAUAAGGGUUUUUGGUCUUCUGGGAUGUUAUUCAGUCUCAGCACCAUUAAUGUGUAAGGUGUAGUGUCUGCAGUGGGUCUGUUACUCUAUACACACACACACACACACACACACACACACACACACACACACACACACACACACACACACACACACACACAUAUUUAUAUAUUUAUUGCUAUGGAUUUUCCUUUCGAUCUGAACUCCUUGUUUCUGGAGAGAAUCUCAGUGCUGGAUCACAAUCUGUGUGCUGUCCGGAAAGGAAGACCUGAAGCCCUGAAUCAGAUUACCAGGGUUAUUAAUGAAUUAGGGAAAGCUUCAGCCAAGGCCCAGAAUCUGCCUGCACCAAUAACAAGUGCAGAAAAGCUUCAGGCCAACAGACACUACCUCUACCUGCUGAAGGACGGAGAGAGAAACGGAGGCCGUGGAGUUGCAGUAGGAUAUCUGAAGGUCGGAUACAAGAAGCUCUUUCUGCUUGACCAGAGGGGGGCGCAUUUGGAGACCGAGCCUUUGUGUGUGCUGGAUUUUUAUGUGACUGAGAGUUUGCAGAGACACGGAUACGGUUUGGAGCUGUUCCACUUCAUGCUGGAACACAAGAAGGUGGAGCCUGAACAGAUGGCGUAUGACAGACCUUCCUCGAAAUUCCUGGCCUUUCUAGAGAAACACUUCGAUCUUAAGCACAGUGUACCUCAGGUGAAUAACUUUGUGGUGUUUGAGGGUUUCUUCAGGAACAGAUCAGGCGCUCCAUCUUCCCCUGUGACGGAUCAGGGGAUGUACGGCUUUUUCGGCUCAGUCGAGAAAAGCUCCUCCAAAAAAGCCAGAGGGAGAGAUCAAACCCUAUUCACUAAUGGAGAGAGAGGCGGUGAGAGAGGAGCAGAAGGCUCUCCCGUGGCCUUUCAUCCGCUCCACGGCCGUUCCUCAAUCUCCUCCUCUGGUGGCAUCCUCCCCGUUCUCUCGCUCCCUGAGCGUGGGAUCGUCCCCCAACCGCACUCCUCAUCCUCAACCUCACAUCCCUCCACACCUGGCCGAAAACUGCCGGACAAAACGCACCAGUUCUCUAAAUAGAUCCCAGCUCGGCUUUCACUGACCUUUCAACUUUUAACGUAGAAUUUUAACAGGCUUGAAGAUGGCCACAUUUGAACCUUUUAGUGUUUGUUGUUUGGUUGUGUGAUUUAGGUCAUAUAAGGAUGUGGAAAUCGCUGAAAUCGUUCUUUCAGGGAUGUGAGAAUACGAACCCUGGUUUUUGUUUUGUUUUUUAAUAAUAUGGCACCGAAUGAGAAAAGGAAGUAACUUGUAACUUAAAGAGUAGAUAGGUUUUUGAAAUUUCCCUGUGUUUACUUCAUCAAGGAACAAACCUGUUAGUAAUCACAAAAGUGUCAAAUCUCCCUAAAAUCCUCACUGAGGUUUAUGUUUAAUAAAUCUGUCCUGAACCUGUGGCUACUUCUGCUUUUAACUCUUAACAUUUUGACCUCCAAUAAAAAACAGUUCAAUAAAAAUGUCACUAAGAAGUCAGUCUGUGCCUUCCCUGAGCUCAUUAAAAGAAGACUCAAACAUGAAGAAUACACAAAGUGCGAUGUUAAAGUUAAGUCGAAACGUUCCACAGUCAUUGCAUUCCUUCUUAUUUGUUAUGUCCAUGAAGUAUAACAAGUUUGAGUUUUCUAAUUGUUUUAUUUAUUUAUUUAUUUAUUUAUUUUUCCUCUUAUCUCCGGUCAUCCUCUUUCUUUACGGCAUGACGCUGCAUUCCUUCAUCCCUUCCCCUCCAUGUGUGUCCACUUUCCCUGUCAUCACCUUUAGUGCUCAGGGUUUGGUUGCCAGAAACAACCUCUACAGUCGUCAUGUGAACAGCAGAGGCCUCGGGCUCUUAAUGGCAGAACAGCUGAAGCUGCCAGGGCUGAAGCCAGUGCUCAGUGAGAGUGUGUGUGAAGCAGUGGGACACACAAACAC